rnacentral:tRNA from 1 species
GCCCGGCUAGCUCAGUCGGUAGAGCAAAAGACUCUUAAUCUCAGGGUCGUGGGUUCGACCCCACGUUGGGCG